CUCUGCGUGCGCCGGAGGCUGCCGUGGCGGGUGGGCCGCCUGACUUCUCCUCCCGGCCAGUUCUCGAGCGCCUCACCGGGCCUCGCCCUGCAGCCUCGCUCUCGCUGGCGCUGCGCGGCCUAGGGGACUGGGCUGCUGGCCUCCGGGUGCGGGGUGGGGGCAGGCUCCGACCUGGGGCGUCCUGGCCGCGCGAGCCGCGGGAUGGGGGCCCGGGCCGCGGAGGAGGCGCCGCUGGUGUGUCCCUUGGUGGAGAGGGCGCUGCCGGCCCUGCGCGGUUUCCAGCCAGGAAGCUUCGGGAAGCCUGGACGUCUGCUCACUGGAGAUGACACGUGCGUGGGGUGUUGGCAUUCUUGUUAUUUAACACGGGAAGGAGGUGACUUCGCCUGUGAUGGACUUCCAGUGUGAGCACUGGCCAGAGUGACCAGGCUGACCAGCACCAGCCCUGAUCCAGAUGCAGAGGCCAGGAUGUGGGCCCAGCCCUGUGCCAGGAGGCUGGCUGGAAUAAAGGUACAGAUAGAGGCCUCACCCCCUCUGGGACCACUGGCACUCAGGGUGUUUGCAGCCUCAGAGCCCACCUGCCCCCAGGGCCACAGCUGCAUCUCCUGCCCUGCUGUCAUUACAGGGAUGGGCAGGCUGGCAUGGGGGCAGCCGCUGCCCCUGCCUGGGUGUUGCUGUGUAUUCCUGCCGGCCAGGGGCCACUGCCAGGACCACGCCUCCCUUUUCAUAUCCCGAUUCUUAAGUUCUGCUAUUGUGGUAUUCUGGUGGAGAAAAAAGAACCGCGUGGCUGUUUUUGAACUGCCUGGAACCUAAGACCCUGAAUUCUUUUCCCCCCCAAGGGGAAAAUCUAUAUGGAAAACAUUUAUUUUAAAAUACAGGAUGAAGUGAAUUAAAAGAUUUAAAUGCACAUUUCUUUAAGGAUAAUAUUUCUGUGUUGGCAAAAUUUGAGAGUAAAUUGGUCUUGAAUGGAA
rnacentral:lncRNA from 1 species